GGGGUCCUAGCUGCGUUGCCCUGGUAACAACUGUAAACAAAAGGCUGCGGUUAACUGCUCCGCUCCCUGACAGGAUUUUUCAUUCAUUCGUGCCAAUGAAACAGGAGGCCUCGAUUCGUGCAGAAGAUAAGGUUUGAAACCCAGACAGCACGAAGCAUCUUGCCGACGUCAAAAUCAGAUCAACAGACAGGGACAUCAGCCUUCUCUUGGGAAUAGGCCAGAUAUGCCAUAACAAGAAAUGGUGUUUUGCCCCUGCGGUUGUGAAGAGGAUGCUGUGGAGGUGGCAGCAUGAACGUGUCACACAGACAUUGGCUAAACUACUCGGCUUCUACACUUGCCCUCAGAGUUCACAUAUGGUGAAGUGCACAGGUGUCCAGUCAGGUUCAGACUGAUGCUGGUAACAAGAGGAAAACAUGCUAAUUGAUGACAUUUCCAGCAUGUCCAACUCAUCGGCAUCAUGGGAGAUUCGGUGAAGGUGGUGCACCAUCCAGGACCAGUCAUGGGCCACCAACACGUCUGCAAAAUCUACACUUCUUGUGAACCCUGUAGAAGACACUACAACCACAAAACUGCUAAUAAACCAUCACAUACUGCAUCA